GAUGAACGCUGGCGGCGUGCCUAAUACAUGCAAGUCGAGCGAACAGACGAGGAGCUUGCUCCUCUGACGUUAGCGGCGGACGGGUGAGUAACACGUGGAUAACCUACCUAUAAGACUGGGAUAACUUCGGGAAACCGGAGCUAAUACCGGAUAAUAUAUUGAACCGCAUGGUUCAAUAGUGAAAGACGGUUUUGCUGUCACUUAUAGAUGGAUCCGCGCCGCAUUAGCUAGUUGGUAAGGUAACGGCUUACCAAGGCAACGAUGCGUAGCCGACCUGAGAGGGCGAUCGGCCACUCUGGAACUGAGACACGGUCCAGACUCCUACGGGAGGCAGCAGUAGGGAAUCUUCCGCAAUGGGCGAAAGCCUGACGGAGCAACGCCGCGUGAGUGAUGAAGGUCUUCGGAUCGUAAAACGCUGUUAUUAGGGAAGAACAAAUGUGUAAGUAACGAUGCACGUCUUGACGGUACCGAAGCAGAAAGCCACGGCUAACUACGG
rnacentral:rRNA from 1 species